rnacentral:rRNA from 1 species
AUUGAACGCUGGCGGCAUGCCUUACACAUGCAAGUCGAACGGUAACGGGCCUUCGGGUGCCGACGAGUGGCGAACGGGUGAGUAAUGCAUCGGAACGUACCUUUCAGUGGGGGAUAACGUAGCGAAAGUUACGCUAAUACCGCAUAUUCUGUGAGCAGGAAAGCAGGGGAUCGCAAGACCUUGCGCUGAUUGAGCGGCCGAUGUCAGAUUAGCUAGUUGGUGAGGUAAAGGCUCACCAAGGCGACGAUCUGUAGCGGGUCUGAGAGGAUGAUCCGCCACACUGGAACUGAGACACGGCCCAGACUCCUACGGGAGGCAGCAGUGGGGGAUCUUAGACAAUGGGCGCAAGCCUGAUCUAGCCAUGCCGCGUGAGCGAUGAAGGCCUUAGGGUUGUAAAGCUCUUUCAGUGGGGAAGAUAAUGACUGUACCCACAGAAGAAGCCCCGGCUAACUCCGUGCCAGCAGCCGCGGUAAUGU